AGGAUUAGAUACCCUAUUAGUUUAAUGAGAAUUUAGUAGUAGGCGAAAUUCGUGAAACUAAAAUUAACUGGCGGCUUAUUAAAUUUAUUAGAGGAAUUUAUCCUGUAGAGGAUGAUACCCCAAAAUCUUACUUUUGUUUGUAUGUAUUACAGUUUGUAUAUCGCUAUGUAUAAAUAAUAAGAGUUAUUUAGGUAAAAUCUUUUUAUAAGGCUUAUGUUAGGUAAAGAUGCAGCUUAUACUAAAGGUUGAGAUAAAUUAUUUUAAUUAUUAUUUUACAAUGUAUUUUUUGUAAUAAAAAUAUAAAGAAAAAUUUAAAAGUAAAUAUAGUAAAUGAGGCUAUGUUGAAUAUCUAUUUAUUUGUGUACAUAUUGCCCGUCACUCUCCUUUAGGAGAUAAGUCGUAACAUA
rnacentral:rRNA from 1 species